rnacentral:rRNA from 1 species
GAUGAACGCUGGCGGCGUGCCUAAUACAUGCAAGUCGAGCGAACAGACGAGGAGCUUGUUCCUCUGACGUUAGCGGCGGACGGGUGAGUAACACGUGGAUAACCUACCUAUAAGACCGGGAUAACUUCGGGAAACCGGAGUUACUACCGGAUAAUAUAUUGAACCGCAUGGUUCAAUAGUGAAAGACGGUUUUGCUGUCACUUAUAGAUGGAUCCGCGCCGCAUUAGCUAGUUGGUAAGGUAACGGCUUACCAAGGCGACGAUGCGUAGCCGACCUGAGAGGGUGGUCGGCCACACUGGAGCUGCGACACGGUCCAGACUCCUACGGGAGGCAGCAGUAGGGAAUCUUCCGCAAUGGGCGAAAGCCUGACGGAGCAACGCCGCGUGAGUGAUGAUGGUCUUCGGAUCGUAAAACUCUGUUAUUAGGGAAGAACAAGUGUGUAAGUAACUGUGCACGUCUUGACGGUAGCUAAUCAGAAAGCCACGGCUAACUACGUG